rnacentral:rRNA from 1 species
UACGUAGGGGGCAAGCGUUGUCCGGAAUUAUUGGGCGUAAAGCGCGUGUAGGCGGUCCGGUAAGUCGGCUGUGAAAGUCCAGGGCUCAACCCUGGGAUGCCGGUCGAUACUGCCGGACUAGAGUCCGGAAGAGGAGAAUGGAAUUCCUGGUGUAGCGGUGAAAUGCGCAGAUAUCAGGAAGAACACCCGUGGCUAAGGCGGUUCUCUAGUACGGUACUGACGCUGAGACGCGAAAGCGUGGGGAGCGAACAGG